AGGAUUUCAGAAAGAGAGCUGUGGGACCAGUGACCUGUACUGCUGGGGUGGCUGUACCUUGGCUCCUUUGCUGCCAUACCACACAAGGGUGGACAAACUGUUCUGCAGAAGCAGCAGUGGGAGAAAGUCCUUCAAGCAGUUUGCCAGCAGUUCACUGGGAGCAAGAGGAGGAAGGGGAAGAGGAGCCAGACACCAGGCACUAGAUCCUGUUCUGAGAAGGCACAGACCUCGUCAUGGUGAUCUAUGUCUUUGUGGCCUUAAGGCUGGAUUACUGUAAUGUGCACCCUGGAAAACCACCUUCAGGGUAGAGAUAUGGAAGGACACAGAAGCACAAGUGCUCAAGGGCCUUCACCUGUGAGAGAUGGCAAACCUGUACUCUGCAAACUUCAUUAGAUUGUUUAAAAAUAUAUAACAUGGCCCAUUGAAGUUAGAACAUGAAUUCUCAGCCCAUGUGCCCAGGAACUCUGGGGUGCCAUAAGAUCCUUUGAAGGUUGCCACCAGGUGUGAGGAAAU